UUUUUUUUUUUUUUUGGUUUUUCGAGACAGGGUUUCUCUGUGUAGCUUUGCGCCUUUCCUGGGACUCACUUGGUAGCCCAGGCUGGCCUCGAACUCACAGAGAUCCGCCUGGCUCUGCCUCCCGAGUGCUGGGAUUAAAGGCGUGCGCCACCACCGCCCGGCUAAUACUUUUUUUUAAAAAAGUACAUUUAUUUAUUCUACUGUGUGUGUAGUAUGUGCGCGCGCACAGGUGUGUGUGUGUGUGUGUGUGUGUGUGUGUGUGUGUGUGUGUGUGUGUGUGUGAAAGAGAGAGGGAGAGGGAGAGGGAGGGAGAAUUAGGUCAGAGAACAACUUACUUACAGGCUUCUCUUCUCUGUGUCCACCACGUGGUUUCUGGGGAUUGAACUCAGUCUGUCUCGCUUGGCUGCAAUCCCCUUUACGGCUGAGCCAUCUCCUCAGCCCUUUUCAAUCUUUGUGUGCAGAUCUUGCCUGCAUCUCUUGUGGUCCUGAAGAGUGGAGGUGGGCUGAAGUUGAAUGUUGAUAUGUGGAGAAUUUUCUUAGUCGGUUUGAUAUUUUCUAGAAGAAGCUUGUUUUCCAUUUUUUGUAGAAACAGAAAUAACUGAAAGCUUCUAGCUCUGCUAUCAAGCUAAGCUUUGCAGCUUCAAACUGAACACCCAGGGGUAGAUUAUUCCCCCUGACAUAGGUGUGUGUUCUUUGUGUAAUAAAGCAGACCAACCAUCCAGUCACAUCUGCAGUUAGGACUAAACAGAUGUGGAAGGCCUUCUGGUUUACCUUGCCCCAAGGUCUACACCCUUUACCCCACCCAGACUCUAGAGCUGAAGUCCACUGGGUUGUGAGUCGGGAAAGGUCAUGCUCCGUCAUUUCAGCCUAGGCAACAGGAAGUUGAUUCUAGACUCCUUCCUUCCCACCCCACUUUGUUUUUAAUUUUGCAGAGCUAAAGGUAUGGAGGAUUUCUUAUAAAAAUACUUUCUUCUUUAGGGGCUGGAGAGAUGGCUCGGUGAUUAAGAGCACUGGCUGCUCUUACCAGUGACCUGGAUUCCGUUCCCUAGCAUCUACUACUGGGUUGCCCACAACCCUUCCUAACUCUAGUUCCGGGGGAUCCAGUGCCCUCUUGUGGCCUCCAAGGGCACCAGCCACACACAUAUGGUGUACAAGGGCGUGCGCGCACGCACGCACGCACGCACGCACGCACGCACACACACACACACACACGCACAUGCAUACACACAUACACUACACAUACAUACAUACACACAUACAUACAUACAUACAUAUUCUAAAAUAUAUUUUUCUUUACUACUUUAGAGAUUCUGUCCCACUAUUAUUCUAAUUAAAAAGUCAUUUUUUUUUUUUUUAGAGGCCUUACGCAUCAGAAAGGAGGAUUUGGGAUUGUACAAUGCCUUAGGAAACUUAGAUUUUUAUUUUAGUUUUGUAUUUUUGAUUUGUUUGGGUUUUAUGAAAUAGGAUUCUGAGUAUCUUAGACCUCUCUCUCUCUCUUCCUCUCUCCCUCAACAAGGUCUUUAUAUGAUAUAGCUCUGGCUAUCCUGGAACUCACUGUGUAGACCAGGCUGGCCUCAAAUUCACAGAGAUCUGCCUCCCUCUGCCUUCCGGCCCCAGGCUGCUCUUGAACUAGUGACUCGAUGGUGUCUGCCUCCCAGAUGCUAAGAUGACAGGCAUGCACCACCAUGUCCAGAAGGAACUCACACUUUGAAGAGAUGUUUUGUCUUUGUUUUUCUUCUUUCUCGUGAUCCCUCAUCUCAUUCCCACCCGCAGUGCUGGAAACUGACCUCGUACAUGCUUGGCAAACACGCUUACUGCUGAGCUACCCUCCUAGCCCUUCAGUAGACUUUUAGAAAAACUUGAGUGUUUGUGUGUGUGUGUGUGUGUGUGUGUGUGUGUGUGUGUGUGUGUGUGUGUGCAGGCGGUUGGUUACUGUCAUUGUUUUGUUGAGGACAGCCACAGCUGAGCAGGAAGCUUUCAUGGAGAACUCUGGACAGGCUCCAGUUGGUCAGGGAAGGCUGCACACACUGCUCUGUUUGUUCAGUGAGCCUUCAUAUGGUGUUUGCUUCUCCUGCCUUUCUAGAGCCCAUCUGCCCUGGGGAGAAUGGGCAUGGCAGUUCUGUUGUAGAAAGAAAAACGAAUACUUUCCUGUUCCAUUGGCAGUGGAACCUUCCAUAGACUUGUGAAGUGUUGCCGAAGAUGGUGAGGAUGUGCCGCUAGGUGAUAACUUACACAUACACUUUUAGAUUCCCCAAUUCUCUCAGGCAUUCCCAGGAAGCAUGCUAUCCUUUUUUCUCCUACCGGGCAUUGAACCGAGGACCUCAAGCAUGUUGGUCAAGCACACUACCACUGAGCUACACUUCCCAGGAGUGCACUUUAACUUUUGACCUUUCGUGUAGGCUUAAUGGUCAGUUUAGGGAAUGGAGUGUGAUUCUCUGCUUCUACAUUGCAUUCUCAUUUAUUGGUUUUUGGUUUUUGAGACAGAGUCUUGCUGUGUGACCCAGGCUAGCCUCAACUCUGUAACUGAAGUUCUGCUUCAGUCUCCCAAUGCUGGGACUUACAGACAUGCUCGUCACCCAGUUCUUACACUCAAAUUUAAUUUAGUAGCUCUGGUGGGAAUUAAAAAACAUCGUCAUGAAUCCAAUAAUCCAAGUCAAAGCAUAAGCGACAUUUAGUGGGUAAAAGCCAGAGGGACUAUUAUUUGAUGUUUACCUGCAAAAAAUGAUUGUCGUUACGUCUGAGGUGGGACUCUGGCGUCCUCACUUAUGCCCAGUCCAUUAAAACUAAAACUCCCCAUCCUUUUGCCACAGAGAGAGAUUCCUUCUCUUAGACUUCAAUUAUUGGUAUUGCUGUCGAUAUCUACAAUUCUGCCCAGGACAGAGUAGAGGCAUUUGCACAGUGUGGAUGUUAAAAUGCUUUUGUUUUAUAAGAAAGGCUGUGUCUUAGGGUUUCUGUUGCUGCAACACAACACCAUGACCAUGAAGUCAGCUGGGGAGGAAAGGGUGUAUUCAGCUUACACUUCUACAUUGCUGUUCAAGAAAGUCAGGACAGGAACGUAAGCAGGGCGGGGACCUGGAGGCAGGAGCUGACGCAGAGGCCCUAGAGGAGUGCUGCUUACUGGCGUGCUGCCCCUGGCUUGUUCAGCCUGCUUUCUUAUAGAACCCUGGACCAGCAGUCCAGGGAUGGCACCACCCACCACGGGCUGGGCCCUCCCCCCUUGAUCACUAAAUGAGAAAUUGCCUUAUGGCUGGAUCUCAUGGAGGCAUUUCCUCAGCGGAGGCUCCUUCCUCUCUGCUGACUCUAGCUUGUGUCAAGUUGACACAAAACCAGCCAGGAACCAUAGUGACAUAUUUGUUUUUGUUUUUUUCUUUUCGAGACAGGGUUUCUCUGUGUAGCUUUGGUGCCUGUCCUGGAUCUCGUUCUGUAGACCAGGCUGGCCUCAAACUCACAGAGAUCCGCCUGCCUCUGCCUCCCGAGUGCUGGGUUUAAAGGCGUGUGCCACCACCACCCAGCUGUUUUUUUGUUUUGUUUUGGUAUACUAAUAUACAAUGAGUUAUUAAGUAUACAUUUUUGUGUCUCCUACAUACUUGGAACUUGUCACUGUGAUGAGAGUCUCUGCUCUCCUCUCUGAGCCAGUUGGCAAGAGAAUUUUACUUCCGUAGGGAAAAGUCAUCUUCCCAGUUUCAGAUCCUGAGUUCUGACGCAAGCCAAGUGUUUAUUUUGUGGUUGUUAAAGUACCUUCUUCCCAGUGUGAUUCUUAUGGCAGAACCAUAGAGUAGGAACAGCUUUUAGCAAGUCUGGAAAUUAGGAAACAUGAAUCUUUCUUUUCAAGACUUUUGGCUCUAUAUGAACUUUAGAGCUGUUCUGUCAUUUUUUUUUCUUUUUAAGUUUAAUUUAUUAAUAUUUUGCAUGGGGCAGGGGGAGGGGGGGAUAACCCCCGGGAAUCGGUUCUCUUCCUACUGUGGGAUCUUGGUGUGGAACUCAGGUUGUCAAGCCCUGAAGACAAGCCCUUUUACACACGAAGCAGUCGCGUUGGCCCAAUGUAUCAUUUUCUCUUCACGAAAGACAACUGAGAUUUUUAUUUGUUAUUAUUAUUUUUUUUUACAGUGUCUAACUAGCCUAGGAUGGACUUGAAGUCCAGGCUAGUGUUGAACUUAAUCCUCACUCUUGACUCAGCCUCAGGCGUGUUGGGAACACAGGAAUGCACUACCACAUGCAGCAGCUGGUAGUUAAAAGUUUGGCGUGGUAUGGAUCUCAUCAAAUCUGUAAAUCAAUUAAAAUAGUAUCACUGUCUUAACAAUACUAAGUGUUCCCAUCCAUGAACAUGGGCUAUCUUUCCGUUGGCUUAGGACAGAGAUUCCUACCUUUCCAUGCACACUUCCUUGAUUUAAUAUAUUCCCAUGUUUUUGUUUCUUUCUUUGUUUUCUUGAGACAGGGUUUCUUUGUGUAUCCCUGCUUUCCUAGAACUCACUCUGUAGACCAGGCUAGCCUCCAACUCAGAGAUCCACCUGCCUCUGAUGAUGCUAUUGUAAGUGGAAUCCUCACCCCCCACUUUUUUUUUUUAAGAUAAGGUCUCACUGUGUGUUCGUGGCUGGCCUGGAAUUCACUGUUUUGACUAGGCUAGCCUUGAAUUCAUGGAGAUCCACCUGCUUCUGCCUCUCAAUUGCAGAGCUUAAAGGUGUGUACCAUCACACCCAGCUGGUAUUGUUCUCUUGAUUUCGUCUUAAGAGUGUUCUUCAUUGCUAGUGUAUGGUAAUCCUGAUUGUUAUAUAUUGAUUUAUAUCUUCUGGCCUUGGUGAAUUCACCUCCUCAGCUCUCACAGCUUUGAAAAGGUUCUUGGGGGUUUUCUGUUAUUGUGGUCACAACAUCUACAAUGAGAUGGUUUUACUUCUUUCUUUCCAAUCUAGACACUUUCUAAUUCUUUCUCUUGGCUAAUUGCCCCUGUUGGGACUUGUCAAAUGUACGUGGCUAGUAUGACAUCCUGUUCUUAUUCCUGGUCCCAGAGGGAAGUUUCUACCUUCUACCAUUAGUGUCGUUCUGGAAGUGGAUCUCUCGGGCUGGGGGAUUUUCCUCGUAUUCCUAGAUGGAUGGUGUUUUUUAUUGAGACAGGAUAUUAGUUCCUAACAAUGUGUUUUCAUGAACAGAUGGGCAGGCUUUAUGGUGAGUCGAGUUGUACUGCCUGUGUCAGGAAACAUAUUUUGCUGAUGAGCGUCUCUAAGUCCCUUACAAGGUACUAAUCAAGUCGCAGACAUAGAUGCGCUCACUAAUGGCUUUUAAACAGCCCCUCAAUUGAUACACAUUGAAUGGUUUCUGAGUCUGUUAAACUGACUUCAUUAACCCAAGUUAAUUUGGGUUUGUGUUCACUUGCCUAAAGACACAGAGACAACUUGGACAUAGAAGAUACAAGUUGAUUUGUUUUUAGUGGUUGGUUCCUUUGAACGCUUUUCUAUUACCUAACCUUGGAUUCUCAGAGUCAGACGAGCUGGGUGCAGCUGUCGUCACCCUGAAGGGUCAGUGAGAGAGAGAGAGAGAGAGAGAGAGAGAGACUAACUUGCCUUAAAAUAGAGCCUCGUAUGGUCAAAUAGACUUUCCUGUGACUCAUAUUUCUGUGUGCCUCAUGAGUCAGCCCUGGCAGAAUCCAUGCAUGCAAGAAAGAAAAACUUGUCUUACUGUGGAUAAUCUAAACCUGGGUUAGAAAGUAUUUCACCGUGUAAAGAUGUUCUGGAAGAGGCUGCACGUGCGUGCUUUUGGCUCGUGUUGUUAAAAGACGACACGCGCUCCAGCAGAUUGAAGGAGGUAAUGGUUUUAACCAUUCCUUUUAUUGAUCUUUUUCUCAGUGGCAGUAGUUAUGCACAAUGUACUUGCUGUUUCCCCGCUGACAGCCACCACGAAUGGUCACUGCAUCCAUCACAGGGUUCAGAUGCCCUGUGUCAACCGGUAUAGAGGACAACAUGGAGGUUGAGGGGUCUGUUCUCGUUUGGGAUUUAAGGUCAUUACAAUGUAUGGUUAAGUCUUAAGAGAAAGGAUGGUUCAUGGCCGUAGCUUUUAUCAUCUAAUAAAAAAAGUCUUUCAACCAGCUCCGUCUAUGUGAUGUAAUCUUGUUUUCUACCUUAAUACAGACCUAGUAAAGUGUGUGAUCAUGUGGCUCACAGCUCUCCUUGACUGUGUUACAUCUGUAUUUAUGGCAGACUUUUGGUAGUUCCUAUAAAUGUACAUCACCUAUUUGACUCAUGGUUGAAGCUUUUCGACCUCUCCGGUCCUUCCUGAAGGAGAUACUAUUUUAUUAAACGUUAACUUUGUUAUGAUGUAAACAUGUUGUAUGCACAUCAGCCAAACAAAAUUUGUACAGCUGGAACAUCUGAAGAAUUAAUAAAUCUUGGUUUUGAGACCGA